rnacentral:rRNA from 1 species
UACGAAGGGUGCAAGCGUUGUUCGGAAUCAUUGGGCGUAAAGCGCGCGCAGGCGGAUUGAUAAGUCAGGUGUGAAAUCUCGAGGCUCAACCUCGAAACUGCGCCUGAAACUAUUAGUCUAGAGUGUCGGAGGGGGUAGGGGAAUUUCACGUGUAGGGGUAAAAUCCGUAGAGAUGUGAAGGAACACCGGAGGCGAAGGCGCCUACCUGGACGACUACUGACGCUGAGGCGCGAAAGCGUGGGGAGCAAACAGG